CGCUAUUUUUAUAAGAGAAGGUAAAUCUGACUACGAACGGUACAGCUACACUAACGGUAAACUCUGUGCUUUUGUGUGUGUGGACAUGGAGACACUCAGGGGAACCAUGGAACAUGUCUCACAGGUAGAUAGAUACUUUGGGUGUGUGGGUGCAUGCCUCUUGCUUCAUGCCGUUCAUCCUGAAAGUAUGGCCCACACCCCUUUCAAGAUCUUAACGUGGCGGGAUGUCACGGACUGUGGGGGUGGAAUGGUUUCAAGGACAUCAAUAAACAGGUACCAGUGAAUGUCCUCACGAGUAGGCCAGAAGAAUCGGUUUGAUCCAAAGCGAUCCAUCCACUUUACAUGGACAUGCUUUUCAUCUGUGUUCAGGAUGAUGCCUGGACAUAUAGUAGGUCUUCAUUGUAUCUCAGCAUACACCAUUUCCCAAGAACCCCUUUGACUUCCCACUGGAUUUCCUUCACUGGCUGUAUGUGUGGCUUUCCUUCACUGGCUGGCUGUGGCCCAGCAGUUGGCACCUUGCUGAAACUGAAAUGCUGUGUGUUGAAUCACUUGCAGUCGAGUAGCUUCUGUGUUGAGCACAUGCAGCUGACAUCACGAUACUGUCAGAGCAUUUCUUUGCCCCCUGUUGUCACCCCAGGCGCCCUCCAGCAUGAGGGCAUGUCCAUUGCAUCACCAGUCCUCCCAUUGGUCAAUGAAGAUGAGGAGGAGCCGCAGCCAGAGCCAAGUCCUGCCAAACAGACCUCUCCAGACCAAACGAAUGGAGCCCCAACCAAACCAGCUUUUAUUGACGGCGACAGGCUGCUUCAAUCAGAGUCUGUUACAGAUGCUGGUGACUGGGAUGACAUGGCUGUGACCAAUCAGAUGACCACGUCUCUGCCUACACCUGCACCUGCACACACAGUCAACACCGUUACCGCCACCCAAGACAACGCCACUCUCACAGACAGCUCCUCCUCCUCGUCCCCUGUAAAAAGCACCUCCCCUGCAGGACUGCCCUCCACCCUAGGGGACACAACCUACCCUGUCCCUGCUGGAGGCCACCUCACCACCUCUACUCCUCCUGUUUUAGAUACCACCCCACCUCCAUCCCAUGUUUUUACACCGAUCCAGUCCUCUGUCCAACCCAGCACCCCAGCACUGACCCCUGCCCCAACCCAAACCCUCCCCACGGAAGACCCCAAGACCUCCGGCCCAGUCCAUGUCCCUGCCAGCCCGCCUCACCAGGAGGUUCCAUCAGAGCUCACCGUUGGAGAUGAGGGGCCACAGCUCCAAUCUCCUCUGGACCCUUUGCUGGCUAGCCUGGUCUCUAUCUUUAUCAUCACCACAGCCAUAGUCUCUGUUGUCCUCUUCCUCAAAUUCCGCCAACGGACCGACCACCCUGACUUCCACCGGCUGCAGGAUCUGCCCAUGGUGAGCAUACUCUACUGGACAUGUUAG
rnacentral:lncRNA from 8 species